rnacentral:misc_RNA from 1 species
CGAACCAUCCAACACCACAUUCACCUCUUACCCAAUGAACCCCCGGUCAACGUCCGCCCUUAUCGUUACCCACACUACCAAAAGACUGAAAUCGAAUCUCAGAUCACAGCCAUGCUCGACUCUGGCCUCAUUCAACCUAGCCAGAGUCCUUUCUCCUCCCCCAUUCUCCUGGUGAAGAAAAAAGAUGGCUCAUGGCGCUGUUGUAUUGAUUAUCGUGCACUUAAUACCAUUACCGUUAAGGACAAAUUCCCUAUGCCGACGGUGGACGAACUACUCGACGAUCUUGGAAAGGCCUCCUGGUUUUCGAAGCUCGACCUCCGG